rnacentral:rRNA from 1 species
ACUGCUCAGUAACACGUGGACAACCUACCCUGAGGUCGGGGAUAAACCCGGGAAACUGGGUAUAAUACCCGAUAGAUCUAGAUCGCUGGAAUGCUUUUAGGUCUAAAGUUCCGACGCCUCAGGAUGGGUCUGCGGCCUAUCAGGGUAGUAGUGGGUGUAAAGUACCUACUAGCCUACGACGGGUACGGGUUGUGAGAGCAAGAGCCCGGAGAUGGAUUCUGAGACACGAAUCCGGGCCCUACGGGGUGCAGCAGGCGCGAAACCUUUACAAUGCUGGCAACAGCGAUAAGGGGACCUCGAGUGCUACGAUACAAUCGUGGCUGUCUAGUUGCCUAAAAAGCAAUUGAUAGCAAGGGCCGGGCAAGACCGGUGCCAGCCGCCGCGGUAACACCGGCGGCUCGAGUGGUAACCGCUAUUAUUGGGUCUAAAGGGUCUGUAGCCGGCUUAGUUAGUCUCUUGAGAAAUCUGGCCGCUCAACGGUCAGGCGUUCAGGGGAUACUGCUAAAGCUCGAGACCGGGAGAGGUGAGAGGUACUUCAGGGGUAGGGGUGAAAUCUUGUAAUCCUUGAAGGACCACCAGUGGCGAAGGCGUCUCACCAGAACGGAUCUGACGGCAAGGGACGAAAGCUAGGGGCACGAACCGGAUUAGAUACCCGGGUAGUCCUAGCCGUAAACGAUACUCGCUAGGUGUCGGCCACGGUGCGACCGUGGUCGGUGCCGUAGGGAAGCCGUGAAGCGAGCCACCUGGGAAGUACGGCCGCAAGGCUGAAACUUAAAGGAAUUGGCGGGGGAGCAC